GACGAACGCUGGCGGCGUGCCUAAUACAUGCAAGUCGAGCGCAGGAAACUGACGGAACUCUUCGGAGGGAAGGCAGUGGAAUGAGCGGCGGACGGGUGAGUAACACGUAAGGAACCUGCCUCAAGGAUUGGGAUAACUCCGAGAAAUCGGAGCUAAUACCGGAUAGUUCAACGGACCGCAUGGUCCGUUGAUGAAAGGCGCUCCGGCGUCACCUUGAGAUGGCCUUGCGGUGCAUUAGCUAGUUGGUGGGGUAACGGCUCACCAAGGCGACGAUGCAUAGCCGACCUGAGAGGGUGAUCGGCCACGCUGGGACUGAGACACGGCCCAGACUCCUACGGGAGGCAGCAGUAGGGAAUCUUCCACAAUGGACGAAAGUCUGAUGGAGCAACGCCGCGUGAGUGAUGAAGGUUUUCGGAUCGUAAAACUCUGUUGUAAGGGAAGAACACGUACGAGAAGAAAUGCUCGUACCUUGACGGUACCUUACGAGAAAGCCACGGCUAACUACGUGCCAGCCGCCGCCGUAA
rnacentral:rRNA from 1 species